AGUAACAAGGACAUCCUUUUCAUGCAGACUGAAGUCAGAUUCAUUGCUAUUGCAAAGAAAACAACAUCACUGAUCUUCGUCAGCUAAUUCCUGAUCAGGUGGAGAAAAUUGGCAUAGAGGAUAGUAUCCAUCUUCCAAUCUACAACACUAUGGAAAAUCAACAGGACACCAAAGAAAGGAAGGUCUUUUAUGAUCCUAUCCAUGGGCUUUUAGAGUUACACCCACUUCUUGUCAAAAUCAUUGACACACCUCAGUUUCAGAGACUGCGAAACAUCAAGCAACUUGGAGGGGCCUAUUUUGUUUUCCCUGGAGCAUCUCACAAUCGCUUUGAGCAUUCACUUGGAGUGGCGUACCUAGCAGGCCAGUUUGCAGAAGCUCUAAGUACAAAGCAGCCAGAACUCAAUAUUACGCCUGAAGACAUCCUGUGUGUGCAGAUUGCAGGACUUUGCCAAGAUCUGGGACAAGGACCCUUUUCCAUUGUCUUUGAGGAAAUGUUCAUCCGGGAAAAAAGGGCAGAUCUGCCGGACGGUAAGAAGCGUGAGAAGAUUUCUGUGCAGAUGUUUGAUUACUUACUGACAGCCAAUAAUCUCCAUUCAUCAAUGAAGGAAUAUGGUCUGAAUGUGGAUGGUCAAAAUAAAAGUGACCUGGUGUUCAUCAAGGAGAUGAUCGGAGGACCUCUGAACACUACUGAAACUCAAGAACAGUUCAUGGGUCGAACACAGGACAAGUACUUCCUUUAUGAAAUUGUGGAAAAUGAGAAAAAUGGCAUUGAUGUGGACAAGUUUGACUACAUUGCCAGAGAUGGCUACUAUCUGGGCAUCCAGAGCAGCUUUGACCAUCGCCGUUGCCUCAUGUUUGCCCGGGUGUGUAGGGUGGACGGGAUAAACCACAUCUGCUUUAGAGACAAGGAGGUGAGCAAUCUGUAUAGCAUGUUCCAAACAAGGAGCUUACUCCACAGAACAGCCUACCAGCACAAAACGACCAGGAUCAUAGAGGUUAUGAUCAAAGAUGCCCUCUUAAAAGCAGGUGAAUGCAUCCAGAUUGAAGGCUCAAAAGGAAAAAUAUGCAGUUUAUCCACAGCUAUAGAUGACAUGGAAGCCUACACCAAGCUCACAGAUUCUGUAUUUGAAAAAAUACUCCACUCCUCCGAGAGGCCGGAUGCAAUGAUUCAGAUGCUAGAACACGAGUUGGGCACAGAUCCCUCCAUCCUGUUCAAGGGCUCAAGUCUCUCACCCACCGAAGAAAACAUGGAGACCUACAAAAAGAUGAAAGUGAAUAUUAUUACAGAAGCCAUCAACUCAUUCUCCAAAGAGAUGGGUGAGGCCCAGAGGCUUCUAUUAAAGAUCGUCUCUCGAGAAAUCUACAAGUGUUUGGGCAAAAUGCAGUCUGAAAAACCCACCAUGUCAGAGAUUGAUACUUGGAAAAAGGAAUUGGCUCAAGCAUGCCCACCUGGGGAGAAUGUCACAGUUACAGCCAACGACUUCGAAAUUGUGCACUUUACCAUGGAUUAUGGGAUAACAGAAAAAGAACUCAUUGAAAAUGUAUUUUUCUACAAAAAGAAUCAACAUGACAAACCAUUCAACCUCCGUGAAGAUGAGGUUUCUAUGCUUCUCCCAAAGUGCUCCUCUGAGCAGUUCAUAAGGGUUUACUAUAAGAACAUCGAUGAAGAAAUCGUUGAGACUGCCCAGGAGCACUUUGAUCAGUGGCUCUCAGGUAAUUUCUCUGAUAUCUAACGUAAAAUGUACAUGACUGGUUAUUUUUUUUUAUCAGGGGUGAUGACCAGCAGUACUCACCUGCUUUCAUACCAUCACAAACUAACACAGGUGACAUAAGGAGGGGACCAGCCCAUGGGGACCCAGAGGCCUGAGACCAUCGCCUUAUUUGGAAGAAGAUGCGAGAAAGAGGAACUCUGAUGUCUGCAUUUAUCUCUAAAAAUUGAUCAUUGUCUGUAAAAGAGGCAAAUAAUGUUCUUAAGAUGCAAAUAAUGUGCUUGUAAACGCAUGAGGGGGCGUCAUAAUACCCUGAUAUUAUAAAAGCAAUCUGAAGUGUAUUUUUGGAUGAAGAUCCUUGCUGAUGUUGUGCAGUGACUAUCUUCCCGCGCGUGUGUUCAAUAAAAUCAUUGUUUUGACCCAA